UCACCAGCAACUUAGAGAUGUACGGGAUCAGCGGCAGGUUCAGAAUCAGCAGCACCAGAUUGCCAAAGUACAUGGAGAUAAUCACCGACCAGAACACAUCCGGAUGGUCCAGGAACAGACGCGGACC
rnacentral:ncRNA from 1 species